GAAAAGAAACAACGCGGGGAAAUUUAAAAACAGAACGAAAAGUUUUGGCGGCAAAUGAAAUAAAAUCAUCAAUAACGCUGCCACAGGAGGAAGAAAGAAUCAGAAAUGCAGUCCAAGAUCACCGCUUUCUUCACAUCCAGCCCAGCUUCUUCUUCUCCCAACUAUGACGAUGAUUUGUCAGUCUGGGAGAAUCAGCAACACCACAUCAUCAACACCUACACCCGAAGGCGCCCAAACCCUAAUGCUGGUACUUCGGAUCCGAAACCAGCAACGCUUGUAAAAAACAAGAAGAGAAGCUACGCACAGUUUCACCUUGAUUUUGGCCAAUCCGAUUUCCUCUUACGCGCGUGUUCUACGUGCGGCGUGAAGUUCACUCCCGGCGAUCCACAAGACGAGAAAUCCCACAACGAAUUUCACAAAUCAUACACGCAGGGAAUCCAAUUCAGAGGUUGGACCAAAGAAAAUGUUAUUUCUCUACCCGGUUUGGACUCGGGUCGGGUCGUUUUGUUCUCGGAGCUCGACCCGUUUUCUCACAGGAAGAAAGUUGAAGAGGUGGUGAGGAUGAUGGAAAUUGAGAUUGGAAGUGGGUGGAUACUUCAUGAGCGCUGUAAAGUGUAUCUGUUUGUUUAUCUUAACAGGGUUGCUGGAUGUCUCGUUGCAGAACCAAUUGAAAAGGCAUUCAAAGUUGUGUCUUGCUCUGAUGCUGGACCUGUUCAUAGCGCGAAGAAAAGGGGAGUGACGACGCGUUCUACAACUCUUCAGUUUGGGAAUGUUAUUUUUCAAAGGGAGACCCAAAGAAAAGUUGUUAAUGUGAGUGAUUCUGAAAAGAUGGAAGGGGCAAUCUUCUGUGACAGCGAACCAACUGCUGCUGCUUGUGGCGUUAGGGCCAUUUGGAUUACUCCCUCCAACAGAAGAAAAGGCAUUGCAACCCAAUUGCUAGAUGCAGUGAGGAAGAGUUUUUGUCCCGGUCUUGAGCUUGGACGUUCCCAGUUAGCAUUCUCCCAGCCUACCUCUGCUGGAAAGGCAUUAGCAACUAGUUAUACUGGCACUAGGUCAUUCUUGGCCUAUUAAAGCCAACAAAACAGUUUAUUAGUAAUUCACUCUCUUGACUGUCAAUAGGUACAAACGCUUUGUCAUUGUGAGUUGAUUUUACCAUUUACUUCUCGAGAGCCCUCAUCUGCAAGAAGUCUCUAAUAUUGGAACAGAAUUGGUGGCUGGAGUUUAUCAGGGCCAGCAGAAUAAUGCUUUUAAGCAGCCCCAACAGGCCUGGGAGAACCAGAAUCAAGGACAGCAGCAGCAGUAUAGUUCUGGAGGGAGACAUAUACCUAAAUGAGAUAUGUGCCACCACCACAUCUGCAAACACAGUUGUUUGUCUAGCAGCCCUAUAAUCAAAUGCAAAAGAUCAAUCAACAGGCUCAACAGUUCAAGCAGAAUGUAGGAUCCAAUCCUGGACAGUUCCAGCAGUUUGGACAAUCAGGUUUUACUCUACCACAGCAAGCCAAAGUUGAUCCAACAAUAGAAGCUACGAUUCAAGAUUUAAAAACUCAAAUUGGACAACUUGCUACUGCCGUGAAUGAACUGGUUCAACAGAAGUCAAGUGCGAUUCCUUCUCAAACAGUGGUCAACCAAAAAGCAAGUCAAGAGUAGUGAUAGAUCAGUGUGGGGAUGUUUCAGAUUCAUUCUUUGUAAUUAUCAUUUAGUUUGAACAUUUUCAUUUGAUUUUUUUGCUUUUUCCAAGAACCAAUUUUAAUUCUCUAUUAACAUGUGAA